GCAAGUCGAGGGGUAACAGGGAGCUUGCUCCGCUGACGACCGGCGCACGGGUGCGUAACGCGUAUAGAACCUACCUUUUACAGAGGGAUAGCCUUUAGAAAUGAAGAUUAAUACCUCAUAGUAUUUUAGAUUGGCAUCAAUCAAAAAUUAAAGAUUUAUCGGUAAAAGAUGGCUAUGCGUCCUAUUAGCUAGAUGGUAAGGUAACGGCUUACCAUGGCAACGAUAGGUAGGGGUCCUGAGAGGGAGAUC
rnacentral:rRNA from 1 species